rnacentral:lncRNA from 1 species
AUGGAAACGAUGCGCUUUGAAAGUUCCAAAGAGAUUUUUUUUAAGCAUGCCUGUCAGGAAGCACAUAAAUACCACAAAAGGAAACCCAUUCGUCUCCAAACACGAUUUACCAAGGACCAGGGAGCCCUGAGCUUUUUCCCCUCACGCAGCGUCUCCGUGGCAGCUCCCGAGUUGCGCUCUCGGAGGCGGCAACCCCACUUUUCUUCCGUCUCCCAGUCACAGACGGGACAACGUGCAGCUGCCGCCACCGGCCAGGCCGCUGUCACCGCUGUCACCGCCGCCGCCGCUGCUUCUAAAUCAGAGCCGCUACUGCAAAGAAAGGGUUACUCCUCUCUCCAGUCAAGUGGCUGCAAACUUCCCCUGCUCUCCUUGUGCCAUAUUUCUGCAAACUUGGACGUCCUUCCGUGCGGAAGGACCACGGAAAGCCAUCACGAGCGUCACAGGGAGCAUAAUAAAGGGCACCCCGGAAGGCAAGGAAACUAAAAGGAGAUAGAAAGGAUGCAAAGGGGCAAAGGGGGUGAAGAAAAUGGAAGAUCUGCACCUGGGAGCAGGAAGGCACCCUGGUAGUAGAGGGUAGCAUGAUAAGAAGAUGGGAAACAGAGAGAGGAAGAAAGGUAUGAGAAUUCCUUUCCUUUCCUUUAUUUCUUUCCCUGAAUAUCAACAAUGGUCAGGAAACUCCUUCUUAAAACCCUGCUUAAGAUCUUUACUUAUGAAAAUUUGCCUAAGGGGCUGAGUUGUUUGUGCCAUCCCUAAUAGAACUAAGUAAAACAAAAGAGUGAAACCAGACCAAUAAUCCUCACCUCCACAAUCAAGAAAUUCACUCUUCUCACCUUUUUCAUAAAAGAUAUACUGAGUCAUGAUUUUGUUUGGUACAAAAAAUUUAAUCCAUUUAUUUUAAAUCUGUGGAUGCCCAUUGGCAAUUCACACAAACUCCUUGUCC